AUGUCUAGCCUUGUUACUACUACUAUACAAGUCCACCUAAUAUGUCUAAAACUGUUACAAAACAGCCUUAGACUAGAUGCUAAUCUGCCCCUGCAUCAGUCCAAAACUACUACUGCCCUGCAGAAAACAUUAGUCCAUAAAACCCUUUGCUCAGCUUGCAAAUCUGCAUCAAACCUGUCCAACAAUUGCACAAAUUCAGCAAAACAUAACUACAUCGAGAAAGUACAAUAG